UGGCGGCGUGCCUAACACAUGCAAGUCGAACGGGGUCUUAUUGAAACCUAUUGAUAUCUGUCCGAGUGGUGGACUGGUGAGUAACGCGUGAACAACCUGCCGUAUGCCUGGCGAUACCAGCUGGAAACCGCUGCUAAUACCGUAUAUGCGCACAGGGCCGCAUGGCGUGUUGCGGUAAGGAGCAAUCCGGCAUGCGAUGGGUCCGCGUCUGAUUAGCUAGUUGGCGGGGCAGCGGCCCACCAAGGCGACGAUCGGUAGCCGGCCUGAGAGGGCGGCCGGCCACAUUGGGACUGAGACACGGCCCAGACUCCUACGGGAGGCAGCAGUGGGGGAUAUUGCACAAUGGGGGGAACCCUGAUGCAGCGACGCCGCGUGGGUGAAGAAGUAUUUCGGUAUGUAAAGCCCUAUCGGCAGGGAAGAAUUUAGAUGGUUCCUUACUAAGAAGCCCCGGCUAACUACGUGCCAGCAGCCGCGGUAAUACGUAGGGGGCCAGCGUUAUCCGGAUUCUCUGGGUGUAAAGGGAGGGUAGACGGCCAUGCAAGCUUGGAGUGAAAGCCCGGGGCCCAACCCCGGGACUGCUAUGGGAACUGUGCGGUUGGAGUGCUGGAGGGGCAGGCGGAAUUUCUGGUGUAGCGGUGAAAUGCGUAGAUAUCAUGGAGGAACACCGGCGGCGAAGGCGGCCUGGCUGGACCGCGACUGACGUUGAGGCUGGAAAGCGUGGGGAGCAAACCAGAUUAGAUACCCUGGUAGUUCACGCCGUAAACGAUGACUUAAAGGGUCGGGGGACGACAGUGCCCCGGUGCCGGCGCAAACGCAAUAAGUAGUCACACCUGGGGAGUACGUCGGCAAGGAUGAAACUCAAAGGAAUAGACGGGGACCCGCACAAGCGGUGGAGCAUGUGUGUUUAAUUAGAAGCAACGAGAAGAACGUCACCUGGCCUGGACAUCCAGGCGACGCAGGGGCAAUGCCCUGUUCCGUUGGCGGUGCGGGAGACAGGUGGCGCAUGGUGGUCGUCAGUUUGAGUCGUGAGAUGUGGGGUCAAGUCCCGCAUCGAGCGCAACCCUCGCCCUUAGUAGCCAGCAGGUAGAGGUGGGCACUCUAGGGGGACUGCCGGGGACAACCCGGAGGAAGGCGGGGACGACGUCAAAUCAUCAUGCCCCUUAUGUCCAGGGCUACACACGUGAUACAAUGGCGCGCACAGAGGGAGGGGAGGAGGGGAAGCCGAGGGAAGCCCGGAAAGCGCGCCCCAGUUCGGAUUGCAGCCUGCAACUCGGCUGCAUGAAGCCGGAAUCGCUAGUAAUCGCGGAUCAGAACGCCGCGGUGAAUACGUUCCCGGGUCUUGUACACACCGCCCGUCACACCAUGGGAGUCGGGAACGCCCGAAGUCGGUGCCCCAACCGCAAGGAGGGAGCCGCCGAAGGCGGGCCCGGCGACUGGGGUGAAG
rnacentral:rRNA from 1 species